rfam:Oryza sativa Japonica Group DNA, chromosome 5, cultivar: Nipponbare, complete sequence.
AAUAAGUGCAGUUGUGGGUUUUAGUGCUCAACAUUUGACCGUCCGUUUUAUUUGAAAUAUUUUUAUAAAUAGUAUUCUAAUUGUUAUUAGAUGAUAAAAUAUGAAUAGUAGUUUAUGCAUGACUUAUUUUUUUAAAAACAAUCAUAAUUUUUUCAAAUAAGACGAACGGUCAAACGUUUGAUACAGAAACACUUAUGGUUGCACUUAUA